rnacentral:rRNA from 1 species
UUUAGCGGCGGACGGGUGAGUAACGUGUGGGCACCUGCCUCAUACAGAGGGAUAAUCAUGUGAAAACGUGACUAAUACCGCAUUCAGGGCAUCCUAAAAGGAGCACCGGUUGAGAUGGGCCCGCAUCUGAUUAGCUAGUUGGUGAGAUAACAGCCCACCAAGGCGACGAUCAGUAGCCGACCUGAGAGGGUGAUCGGCCACAUUGGGACUGAGACACGGCCCAGACUCCUACGGGAGGCAGCAGUGGGGAAUCUUCCGCAAUGGGCGAAAGCCUGACGGAGCAAUGCCGCGUGAGUGAUGAAGGAAUCGUUCCGUAAAGCUCUUUUGUUUAUGACGAAGUGCAGAUUGUGAAAAUGAUCUGUAAUGACGGUAGUAAACGAAUAAGCCACGGCUAACUACGUGCCAGCAGCCGCGGUAAUACGUAGGUGGCGAGCGUUGUCCGGAAUUAUUGGGCGUAAAGAGCAUGUAGGCGGUUUUUUAAGUCUGGAGUGAAAAUGCGGGGCUCAACCCCGUAUGGCUCUGGAUACUGGAAGACUUGAGUGCAGGAGAGGAAAGGGGAAUUCCCAGUGUAGCGGUGAAAUGCGUAGAUAUUGGGAGGAACACCAGUGGCGAAGGCGCCUUUCUGGACUGUGUCUGACGCUGAGAUGCGAAAGCCAGGGUAGCGAACGGGAUUAGAUACCCCGGUAGUCCUGCCGUAAAGAUGGGUACUAGGUGUAGG